GUUUAUCCAUUAAACCCAUGGCUGUCUUCACUGAGUUUAAGGAACCUACAUCUUCUGACAGUGAACAGAUUACUGGAAAUUCGGAACCCCAAAAAGACGACAAAACUGUAGAGGCAGCAGAUACUGAUCUUGCACUCAAGAUGGAAUGAAUUUGUUCAUUUUCUCAAAGAAAAUGUAUGCUUUGAGAACAGCUGCAGCUGGGAAGGAGGAAAAUGUUGUCAUACCUGUUGCAACAAAACAAGACCUAUGGCAUGGAUAGAACUGUAAAUC